rnacentral:tRNA from 1 species
GUAGAGUGCCAGAUAUAAAUGGGUCAGAGUUAGGGUUUGAAUAUAGGUUGUUACCUCUCUAUU